GAUCCUGGCUCAGAUUGAACGCUGGCGGCAGGCCUAACACAUGCAAGUCGAGCGGGGUUUCGGACCUAGCGGCGGACGGGUGAGUAAUGCGUAGGAAGCUACCCGACAGAGGGGGAUACCAGUUGGAAACGACUGUUAAUACCGCAUAAUGUCUACGGACCAAAGUGUGGAACCUUUGGGCCACAUGCUGUCGGAUGCGCCUACGUGGGAUUAGCUAGUUGGUGAGGUAAUGGCUCACCAAGGCGACGAUCCCUAGCUGGUUUGAGAGGAUGAUCAGCCACACUGGAACUGAGACACGGUCCAGACUCCUACGGGAGGCAGCAGUGGGGAAUAUUGGACAAUGGGCGCAAGCCUGAUCCAGCCAUGCCGCGUGUGUGAAGAAGGCCUUCGGGUUGUAAAGCACUUUCAGCGAGGAGGAAGGGUUGUGUGUUAAUAGCACAUAGCCUUGACGUUACUCGCAGAAGAAGCACCGGCUAACUCUGUG
rnacentral:rRNA from 1 species